AGAGUUUGAUCCUGGCUCAGAGUGAACGCUGGCGGCGUGCCCAACACAUGCAAGUCGAACGAUGAUAGGAAGCUUGCUUCCUUGAUUAGUGGCGCACGGGUGAGUAUACCAUAGAUAAUGUACCUCUUAGUUCGGGAUAGCCACUGGAAACGGUGAUUAAUACCGGAUACUCCUUCUCGUUAUAAGGCGAGUCGGGAAAGUUUUUUCGCUAAGAGAUCAGUCUAUGUCCUAUCAGCUAGUUGGUGAGGUAAUGGCUCACCAAGGCUAUGACGGGUAUCUGGUUUGAGAGGAUGAUCAGACACACUGGAACUGAGACACGGUCCAGACUCCUACGGGAGGCAGCAGUGAGGAAUAUUGCACAAUGGAGGAAUCUCUGAUGCAGCAACGCCGCGUGGAGGAUGACGCAUUUCGGUGUGUAAACUCCUUUUAAGAGGGAAGAUAAUGACGGUACCUCUUGAAUAAGCACCGGCUAACUCCGUGCCAGCCGCCGCGGU
rnacentral:rRNA from 1 species